rnacentral:rRNA from 1 species
UACAGAGGGGGCAAGCGUUGUUCGGAAUUACUGGGCGUAAAGGGCGCGUAGGCGGCCUGCUAAGUCGAACGUGAAAUCCCCGAGCUCAACUCGGGAACUGCGUCCGAUACUGACAGGCUUGAAUCCGGGAGAGGGAUGCGGAAUUCCAGGUGUAGCGGUGAAAUGCGUAGAUAUCGGAAGGAACAUCAGUGGCGAAAAGCGACUUCCUGGACCAGUACCGACGUUCAGGCACGAAAGCGUGGGGAGCAAACAGG